rnacentral:rRNA from 1 species
CNAGGGGNAUAACAUAUUGGAAACGACUGCUAAUACCGCAUACNCCCUACNGGGGAAAGGAGGGGACCUUCGGGCCUUUCGCGAUUGNAUGAACCCAGGUGGGAUUACCUANUUGGUGGGGUAAUGGCUCACCAAGGCGACGAUCCCUAGCUGGUCUGAGAGGAUGAUCAGCCACACUGGAACUGAAACACGGUCCAGACUCCUACGGGAGNNAGCAGUGGGGAAUAUUGCACAAUGGGGGAAACCCUGAUGCAGCCAUGCCGCGUGUGUGAAGAAGGCCUUCGGGUUGUAAAGCACUUUCAGCGAGGAGGAAAGGUUGGCGCCUAAUACGUGUCAACUGUGACGUUACUCGCAGAAGAAGCACCGGCUAACUCCGUGCCAGCAGCCGCGGUAAUACGGAGGGUGCAAGCGUUAAUCGGAAUUACUGGGCGUAAAGCGCACGCAGGCGGUUGGAUAAGUUAGAUGUGAAAGCCCCGGGCUCAACCUGGGAAUUGCAUUUAAAACUGUCCAGCUAGAGUCUUGUANAGGGGGGUAGAAUUCCAGGUGUAGCGGUGAAAUGCGUANAGAUCUGGAGGAAUACCGGUGGCGAAGGCGGCCCCCUGGACAAAGACUGACGCUCAGGUGCGAAAGCGUGGGGAGCAAACAGGAUUANAUACCCUGGUAGUCCACGCCGUAAACGAUGUCNAUUUGGAGGCUGUGUCCUUGAA